CCGGAUUUAUUGGGUUUAAAGGGUGCGUAGGCGGAUGAAUAAGUCAGUGGUGAAAGGCUGCAGCUUAACUGUAGACUUGCCGUUGAUACUGUUUAUCUUGAGUGUGGUCAAGGCAGGCGGAAUGUGUAAUGUAGCGGUGAAAUGCUUAGAUAUUACACAGAACACCGAUUGCGAAGGCAGCUUGCUGGGCCAUUACUGACGCUGAUGCACGAAAGCGUGGGGAGCGAACAGGAUUAGAUACCCUGGUAGUCCACGCCGUAAACUAUGAUCACUAGCUGUUGGCGAUACACAGUCAGCGGCAAAGCAAAAGCAUUAAGUGAUCCACCUGGGGAGUACGGCCGCAAGGCUGAAACUCAAAGGAAUUGACGGGGGCCCGCACAAGCGGAGGAACAUGUGGUUUAAUUCGAUGAUACGCGAGGAACCUUACC
rnacentral:rRNA from 1 species